AUGCAAGUCGAGCGGAGGAAGCACCUUCGGGUGUGGAAUCAGCGGCGGACGGGUGAGUAACGCGUGGGCAACCUGCCUGCAAGAUCGGGAUAACCCCGGGAAACCGGAGCUAAUACCGAAUAAUCUUUAUCCUCGCAUGGGGAGAAAGUAAAAGAAGGUUUCGGCCUUCACUUGCAGAUGGGCCCGCGGCGCAUUAGCUAGUUGGUGAGGUAGAGGCUUACCAAGGCGACGAUGCGUAGCCGACCUGAGAGGGUGAUCGGCCACACUGGGACUGAGACACGGCCCAGACUCCUACGGGAGGCAGCAGUAGGGAAUUUUCCGCAAUGGGCGAAAGCCUGACGGAGCAACGCCGCGUGAGUGAGGACGGUUUUCGGAUUGUAAAGCUCUGUCCUUUCGGAAGAACAGCAAGGAGAGGAAAUGCUCCUUGUGUGACGGUACGAAAGAAGAAAGCCCCGGCUAACUACGUGCCAGCAGCCGCGGUAAUACGUAGGGGGCAAGCGUUGUCCGGAAUUAUUGGGCGUAAAGCGCGCGCAGGCGGCCUGUUAAGUCGGAUGUGAAAGGCCACGGCUCAACCGUGGAGCGGCAUCCGAAACUGGCGGGCUUGAGUGCAGAAGAGGAGAGUGGAAUUCCCGGUGUAGCGGUGGAAUGCGUAGAGAUCGGGAGGAACACCAGUGGCGAAGGCGGCUCUCUGGUCUGCAACUGACGCUGAGGCGCGAAAGCGUGGGGAGCGAACAGGAUUAGAUACCCUGGUAGUCCACGCCGUAAACGAUGAGUGCUAGGUGUUGGG
rnacentral:rRNA from 1 species